rnacentral:lncRNA from 1 species
CCCACUAGUGGGUCGCGACCCACCAGUUGGGAAACGCUGAUCUAGACAACGUACAGGACGAUUUAAGAGAGAUUUAAGAGAGACAACUGAUGAUGAUGAAUGUAUGUGAUAAUAUUGCAUAAGGAUCGAAGCUUUUAAAAAAAAUAAUAUAACACGAAGGCAAACUUUGAGAUAAUAAGUAGGGUCACCUAGGGUUAGUGUGACGUAAAAAUAUGCAAAUUUGAUUUUAAAAUAAAAAAAAAUAUAUUUGUUUUUAACUCAAUGGUUUCACAUUUUUAACGAAGACUUUCUGGUUAAUUGUCACAAUCAUUGCACAGUGAAUUGGCAUGUUGCAUUUUUAAAAUUCCUUCUACAUUAUGUUUUAUUUAAGAGGGCAAGGUGUCACACUAUCCCUUCAUUAUGGGGUUACUGUGACCUGGAUUAGGGAUAGUGUGACAACUAGCUUUUUUGCCAUUUAAAAGCACCUAGGAUUGAGUGUGCCUUGGUGUGACAAAGAAAGACAUUACAAAAA